rnacentral:lncRNA from 1 species
UGGGAACUGCCACUUACCACAGGGGUGGCCAAAAGUAAAACAAGAAAUAAAUUUCAUCUCGGUAGAGGAAGGGGGCACGUCUUGAUAAGUGGCUCCAUUCUUUGCGCACAUGAAUGAUACAGCAGGGUUCCUUGGAUCCUGGAAUGGAGCCAUGAAUAAGGUCGCCCUAAGAUUCAUAGGACACCCCAGGGGUGCGGAAGACCCAUGUGAAGCUCAUAAGUAUCGUCAGCUGCUUUGGGGACCUUCUCGGAUUCUCACAUACCACGUGGGCGUUCAUUCAAAACGUCCUGUGAGCGCAGGGCCAGCGGCAGAACGAGACAUGAGGCUUUCUCUCUUCAAACACAUUAUAAGAGGCCUUUUUCUGGUUUUGUGCAUCAAAGACAAGCAUGCUAUUCAUUUCUGCAAACCAAACCAAACUUUCCUCAGGAAAGCCGCUUUCAUUUGAUAGAGAACGAAAAAUAUCAAUUAACCGAUUAAUUAACCCAGCGAAACCAGGAGCCAGGGAGAUCAUCAAACUGCUUGUGAAAAGAUUACCUGACCACAGAAUAAGGGCACAAAUAAUUACUUCUGCCGGCACCUGGGUUUCCUCCUGUCCCUCUGAGAUAGUUGAGAAAAUUUAAAUAGCAAAGAAUCCUGAUUCUCUCCUGGCUCUUUCCUUCCACUUGUAGAAGAUUGUGUGUCUGUGUUUCCAGGGUUUUAUUUUGUUCCCGCCUUAGCUGGGGAGGGGGAGCGUCUGUGUGGUGCACGCACUGAUCUGCUGCUUUAGAGCCUUUCCUGGCUUGCAGCUCCGUGAGAACAUCAUGAACACCACGGGGCUUUCUGCGGGUGUCAUCCGCAGAGAAUGCUGCCUAUGGCUUCCGAAGGUUUCUGGACCCGAGGAUUUUAUCUGGCAUCCUCUAGGGGCUUCACAUCGUCUGCAGUCAGAGCCCUAGUUUUCCCUUCUCGUGCGGUUGCCGCCAGAAGGACCCAGCCCCGAGCUGUGUGUUGGCAUCGGGCGGAGGGGUCUGCGUGGGGAGGGUGUGCAGGUGCCCUUCCCGCUCUGGUCCCAGCAGCCUAACGGAGUCGCCCCAGAGCACAUCUCACAGGCCUUUGACAAAGGCUCUGCUGGCUUCAUUCUCUGCCUGUGAAGUCAAGCCAGAGACAAAUGGAUUUCUCCCCUCUUGCUGAUCCUACAUGGGAGCUCCAGAAAAUCGGGUGUUUCUACCACGUGGGCAAGGAAUGCCUUUCCCAAAGAUGGAUCCAGACAGCUUUAUUUCAUGGGGGGGAAAAGAAAAGGUCUGUCUCUAAAUGCCAUCCUCCUCGGUGGCUUUUACCUGGCGAAAGAAAAAUCAGACUCCUGCCUGAAAGAGGGCUUUGUCUGAAAGAAGGCCGGGAGGGUCGGUGUGCACGUGAGGGCGGCUGGGGCCGGGAGUCCAGCGGGCGGCGCUUGGGCCCCGAAGUCUAACACCGGGACGUGGAGGAACGUGAUCUUGGAUUGUUGAGAGCCCUGGGGGAGGUGCUGAGACUCAGACAAGGCUCACGCACCCGGCGGGUUCGUGGAUGGGAUUUCCGCCGGGGCUCAGUUUCUCCUUGUGUAAAUGGGGACAGUAACCUGAUGUGCUUUGCAGGGUAAAGGCGAAAAUACCCCUGCGGGUUGGGAUGCUGCUGCUUGUCAGUUUCUCUACCUUUGACAACGCUGAGCUGCAGAAAGCGUUCGGGCAGCAAAGGAGGAAGACCCAGAGAAAGGUGUGGGUUUCUGCCCGAAUUAGCAGAGGGAUGGAUGGAUGUUUCUUUCCCAUGAGCUGUUUAUUUCCUAGGAAAUCUACAGAUGGUUUGGAAGGUGGUGUCUGGGAAGGGUGGAAGAAAAGGCAGCCCUGGAAAGAGCAUGGCACAGGGCAGUGACGCGGCCACUACCUGUGAGGCUGAGAGACUGCGGCUUUUCUGGGGCUUCCGGGCAGAAAGAGCGUGGUCUGAGAAAGAACCAGGGCGAGAGUUCCCGUGGUGGCGCGCAGUGGUUAACGAAUCCGACUAGGAACCAUGAGGUUGCGGGUUCGAUCCCUGCCCUUGCUCAGUGGGUUAACGAUCUGGCGUUGCGGUGAGCUGUAGUGUAGGUUGCAGACGCGGCUAGGAUCUCGUGUUGCUGUGGCUCUGGCGUAGGCCGGCGGCUACAGCUCCGAUUGGACCCCUAGCCUGAGAACCUCCAUGUGCUGCAGGAGCGGCCCUAGAAAAGGCAAAAAGACAAAAAGAAAAGAAAAAAA